CAGUCGAGCUACGUCGUCCUGAAAAGAUAACUGUCUGAAAGUCUUGACUCGCGGUCUGUUAGCACAAUGUCAGACAAGUGAUUGCGCGAAGUGAGUGCAACUACGUGGGGUGGUUGUUGUUUCUUGCAAACUUUGCGUGUCUCUAUGAAAAGUGUUAAUAUUUGUGAAAGACAUUACAUUACAUUACAACCAACUGUUUUGCACUGAUAUCAGUACCGCGUUGCUAUCGUGGAGCAAGUUUGGAAGGAAUUAAAGAAGAGAAACUCAGAUCCGCACAGCCUCACCUGUACAUCAGUUUCAGCGUUCCGUUCACCGAGAAUCUUAAACCUGUUGUGGACUGAAGCAUUAAACUUUCUGUCUGUGAGCAAGAAGAUUGAUUAUCUACAUUAAAGGAAGGAUUUUUGUCACCAUGGCAAGGACUGGCUUCUUUCACCUGGCAGCACUGAUAUUUCUUUCAUUUGUUCUUCGUUACGAAGGUAACUGUUUGCCACCACAACCAAUUGAGGUCGAAAUCGGGACAUGGAAUACAAGUUCUAUGCACAAUGUUCUUCUUGACAGUGAGAACUGGUGGAAAGACAUUCUGAAAUCCAGAGAAAAUGAAGAUAAAUUGAUGGAAUCUGAGAGAACUUCUCCUAACAUUUCAAACAAGAAUAAAAAAACUGAGCAUAGGGAAUCUGAAAGUGAAGCCACUCUCAAAAAUACGCACGGCACAGAAAAGAUGAAAGGCCCAAGAAAACCUUCAGUGACAAUAACAGACGUUUCUAUACACAAUCCAGAAACUCUAACAACUCGUAAAAUAAAGUCAACUCCAAAGGGAGAAACAAAUAUAGUGAAAAAUGAGAACCAAAAUAAAACCAAAUGUGGUUGUAAAGACAAAGAGUGUUCCCACAAUACAGCACAAGAAAGUGGUAUUUGUAACUUAUAUGCGUGUCUUAUGCUUCUUGCAUGCUCCUUUUAUAGGUAUCACGUGUUUUAGAAGGGUCGUUCAACUGGAUUUAUUUCAUACGGUAUAAUCAUAUACUGAACGGCCAAACACAUCAAAAAGGGUAUAGGCCUAACACUUGUUGGUGAACAAAUCAUCUCAGCGAUAAAUGCUUAGCUUAGGGAAGACGGUAGAUAAGUUAGGCCACGUUUGUACGCUAGAUUGCCAUUACAGAAACAGCUGUCUGCUUCACUGACACGAAACUUCAAAUGUAUAAAUACAAAAUAAUAAACAAUUAAUAUUAAAAAAUUGUCACCACUA